rnacentral:rRNA from 1 species
AUUGAACGCUGGCGGCAGGCCUAACACAUGCAAGUCGAGCGGAUGAGUGGAGCUUGCUCCAUGAUUCAGCGGCGGACGGGUGAGUAAUGCCUAGGACUCUGCCUGGUAGUGGGGGACCACGUUUCGAAAGGAACGCUAAUACCGCAUACGUCCUACGGGAGAAAGUGGGGGAUCGUCGGACCUCACGCUAUCAGGUGAGCCUAGGUCGGAUUACCUAGUUGGUGAGGUAAAGGCUCACCAAGGCGACGAUCCGUAACUGGUCUGAGAGGAUGAUCAGUCACACUGGAACUGAGACACGGUCCAGACUCCUACGGGAGGCAGCAGUGGGGAAUAUUGGACAAUGGGCGAAAGCCUGAUCCAGCCAUGCCGCGUGUGUGAAGAAGGUCUUCGGAUUGUAAAGCACUUUAAGUUGGGAGGAAGGGCAGUAAGUUAAUACCUUGCUGUUUUGACGUUACCAACAGAAUAAGCACCGGCUAACUUCGUGCCAGCAGCCGCAGUAACAC